rnacentral:rRNA from 1 species
UUCCCUACGGGGGGCAGCAGUGGGGAAUAUUGCACAAUGGGGGAAACCCUGAUGCAGCGACGCCGCGUGGGCGACGAAGCGCUCCGGCGCGUAAAGCCCUGUCAGCAGGGAAGAAAAAAGACAGUACCUGACCAAGAAGCCCCGGCUAACUACGUGCCAGCAGCCGCGGUAAUACGUAGGGGGCAAGCGUUAUCCGGAUUUACUGGGUGUAAAGGGAGCGUAGACGGCAGCGCAAGUCUGGAGUGAAAUGCCGGGGCUCAACCCCGGAACUGCUUUGGAAACUGUGCAGCUAG